GAGUAAUCUACCCUCGAGUGCGGAAUAGCUUCGCGAAAGUGGUGCUAAUACCGCAUAAUACUCUAAAGCACACGCUUUUAGAGUCAAAGCCCUUCGGGGUGCUUGAGGAUGAGCUUGCGCCAUAUUAGCUUGUUGGUGGGGUAAUGGCCUACCAAGGUUAUGAUGUGUAGCCGGCCUGAGAGGGUGUACGGCCACACUGGAACUGCGACACGGUCCAG
rnacentral:rRNA from 1 species